rnacentral:misc_RNA from 1 species
UACGUAGGGUGCUAGCGUUGUUCGGAAUCAUUGGGCGUAAAGCGCGUGUAGGCGGUCAUUUAAGUCGGGUGUGAAAUCCCUGGGCUCAACCGAGGAAGUGCAUCCGAAACUAAGUGGCUUGAAGAUGGUAGAGGAAGGUGGAAUUCCUAGUGUAGAGGUGAAAUUCGUAGAUAUUAGGAGGAAUACCGGUGGCGAAGGCGGCCUUCUGGACCAUUCUUGACGCUAAGACGCGAAAGCGUGGGGAGCAAACAGG